ACCCGCACAAGCGGUGGAUGAUGUGGUUUAAUUCGAUGCAACGCGAAAACCUUACCCACCUUUGACAUGGCAGGAAUCCUGAAGAGAUUUGGGAGUGCUCGAAAGAGAACCUGCACACAGGUGCUGCAUGGCUGUCGUCAGCUCGUGUCGUGAGAUGUUGGGUUAAGUCCCGCAACGAGCGCAACCCUUGCCAUUAGUUGCUACGAAAGGGCACUCUAAUGGGACUGCCGGUGACAAACCGGAGGAAGGUGGGGAUGACGUCAAGUCCUCAUGGCCCUUAUAGGUGGGGCUACACACGUCAUACAAUGGCCGGUACAGAGGGUAGCCAACCCGCGAGGGGGAGCCAAUCCCACAAAGCCGGUCGUAGUCCGGAUCGCAGUCUGCAACUCGACUGCGUGAAGUCGGAAUCGCUAGUAAUCGCGGAUCAGCAUGUCGCGGUGAAUACGUUCCCGGGCCUU
rnacentral:rRNA from 1 species